GACGAACGCUGGCGGCGUGCUUAACACAUGCAAGUCGAACGGAAAGGCUCCAGCUUGCUGGAGUCCUCGAGUGGCGAACGGGUGAGUAACACGUGGGUAAUCUGCCCUGCACUCUGGGAUAAGCCUGGGAAACUGGGUCUAAUACUGGAUAUGACCUUUCUCCUUAUGGGGUUUGGUGGAAAGUUUUUCGGUGUAGGAUGAGCCCGCGGCCUAUCAGCUUGUUGGUGGGGUGAUGGCCUACCAAGGCGACGACGGGUAGCCGGCCUGAGAGGGUGAUCGGCCACAUUGGGACUGAGAUACGGCCCAGACCCCUACGGGAGGCAGCAGUGGGGAAUAUUGCACAAUGGGCGGAAGCCUGAUGCAGCGACGCCGCGUGAGGGAUGACGGCCUUCGGGUUGUAAACCUCUUUCAGCAGGGACGAAGCGUAAGUGACGGUACCUGCAGAAGAAGCACCGGCUAACUAUGUG
rnacentral:rRNA from 1 species